ACUCGCGGCGCCGUCGGAUCCCAGAGCGGUUGGUACAAUCUUAAAGUGUUGCUGCUAGACCUUUCUUCUCUUCUAAUUUACCAAGUGAGGAGUGUUGAAAUAUCCAGCUAUAAUUUAUGGAUUUCUCCUUUCAAUACUAUCAUUUUCAGUGCUUUAUGUAUUUUUGAAGCUCUAUUAUUAGCCUCUCUUGAACCUUCACAGUCCAGCUGAGCUGCCAUCUCUUCAAGGAAGUUUUCCCUGAAGCCUUCAGGUAGGCCUGUGUUUUUCCAUGGUGGCCACAUCAGCACACAGCACAUUUAAUUGGAAGUCUCCACAUAUGGGUUGGUUUUCCUUACUUAAAAUAUGCUUAUCAUCCCUUGGAGGUCUGAUGCAUUUUUCUUUCUCUGCAGACCAGCUCCUCCCACCUCCAAAUCUCAAUGGAAGAAUGUGACAUUCUGGAUUCAGCUACCCAAAGAGGGGUUUUCCCCCUCUUUUUCUCUAUUAUACAUUUUAUAGGAAGGAAUUCUGUCCCAGUUAAUUCAAACUGGAACCAGAGGAACAGGGUCCCACUGCUCAAAAUGGCUGUCACCCGUGGCUAUUGACUCCUGCCUCAUGAAGGCUGGUCCUGUCUCUACAGUGAAUAUUGUGCACCUCAGGGUAGAAUGGAGAACACAAGCCUUCAAAUCAGGCAGUCCGGGUUCAGACCCCAAUUCUAGUGCUAAAGAGCCACGUGACUUUAGGCCAAUUGUGUGUGACUUCCCUGAGCCCCAGUCUCUUUGCCUGCAAAAUGAGAGAAAUGAUAACAAU
rnacentral:lncRNA from 1 species